UUAGAUACCCUGGUAGUCCACGCCCUAAACGAUGAGUACUAAGUGUUGGUGAGAAUCAGUGCUGAAGUUAACGCAUUAA
rnacentral:rRNA from 1 species